UGGGGAAUAUUGCGCAAUGGGCGAAAGCCUGACGCAGCGACGCCGCGCGAGGGAUGAAGGUUUUCGGAUCGUAAACCUCUGUCAGAAGGGAAGAAACCGCACUGUGCUAAUCAGCAGUGCCUUGAUGGUACCUUCAAAGGAAGCACCGGCUAACUCCGUGCCAGCAGCCGCGGUAAUACGGAGGGUGCAAGCGUUAACCGGAAUUACUGGGCGUAAAGCGCACGUAGGCUGCUUUGUAAGUCAGGGGUGAAAUCCCACGGCUCAACCGUGGAAAUGCCUUUGAUACUGCUUAGCUUGAGUCCGGGAGAGGGUGGCGGAAUUCCAGGUGUAGGGGUGAAAUCCGUAGAUAUCUGGAGGAACAUCAGUGGCGAAGGCGGCCACCUGGACCGGUAUUGACGCUGAGGUGCGAAAGCGUGGGGAGCAAACAGG
rnacentral:rRNA from 1 species